UUAUUUUGAAGGUUUUGACCGGAAGAUGUGUUUAAUUCCAGACCAGAACCGAAAAAUGAAUCACUACUUGGUCACUUUUGCUGUCAUUUGGACUCAGUCAUGUCGAACAAUAGCGCCGCAAACAGCAGUUUAGUCCUCGCCCAGAAGGCAGUGAAACAGCUUCGUCUCGAGGCCAGUGUCCGUCGGAUAAAGGUCUCUCAGGCCGCUGCAGAACUGAAGACCUUCUGUUUGCAAAAUGCCCACAAAGACCCUCUCCUCACCGGGGUGCCCUCCAGUGAUAACCCAUUCAGGCCUCCCAAGUCAUGUGUCCUCCUCUGACGUGGCUUUGAAGGAGUGCAAAACACUCAAGCAGAUGCCUACAAUGUGGAUUUCUCUCAUGUGCCUGCUGCCUCGGAAGAUAAAGAAGUCAACCCCCCCCCCCCACACACACACACACACACACACACAAAUGCAGGAAUAAUGCUGACAACAUAAAUGUAUAUUUUGAUGUUAUGCUCUUUCUAUGUUAGAUUUACACGGCAGGCCUUAAGGCUUAUUCUGUUUUGAUAACUAUAUCCGUAAACUAUAUUUUUGACCACUUGUUUACCCCUGAUUUUAUAAUAGAACUACUUUUCUUUCACUGGUUUAUAUUGUGAAAAAUAUCCUGGAGUUGAUGACUGAAAAGCCCUAUGAAAGUCACAUUUGCAAACAUCAGAUUUCUAUCUGAUUUAUUUCUAUUUAUGAACGUUGCCCAAAGCAGAAAUUAAAACACAACACAAAGGGGUCAUUUACACCACCUGACAUUUUUUUUAAAGCAGAAAGCACAGAGACAAUUCAUACAAAUCUAAAUGAUUUUUUUUUAGGCAAACAUAGGCUGCUUAAUAAAACUUUGGUAGGGAAAUGAGGAUGUGUAAUGUUUAUAUUGUUGUAUAAGAUGCUUAUCUUGUAUAAUCCACCCUAAAAAAGUUAUGUGUUUGGUUUUGUCACGUGUCUGAAGCUGUAUCUGGCAUGAAUGUUUUGCAUCAAAGUUUUUCUUUUACAAAUACCAACAAUAUUUAACUCUACCAAACUUUUAUUUCACUGCAAAUUUUUAUCUGGUAAAAUAAGAUAACAUAAUCUUGAUGUUACCUUCAAGUGCUCGUUUUCCCAAGAUGUUAUUAUCUGAACUCUCAUGAGCAUAGAAUACUAACCCAUGUUUGAAACAUAAAGGUGACCUUACUAAAGUACCAUUGACAAAAUCUU